rnacentral:rRNA from 1 species
ACGCACGCUGGUGGCGUGCUUAACACAUGCAAGUCGAACGGGAUUUAGUAAACAGAAGCCUCGGUGGAAGAUUACUAAUGAGAGUGGCGAACGGGUGAGUAACGCGUGAGCAACCUGCCUAUGACAGUGGGAUAGCCUCGGGAAACCGGGAUUAAUACCGCAUAAAAUCGUAGAAACACAUGUUUUAACGGUCAAAGAUUUAUCGGUCAUAGAUGGGCUCGCGUCUGAUUAGCUAGUUGGUGAGAUAACAGCCCACCAAGGCGACGAUCAGUAGCCGGUCUGAGAGGAUGAACGGCCACAUUGGAACUGAGACACGGUCCAAACUCCUACGGGAGGCAGCAGUGGGGAAUAUUGCACAAUGGGGGAAACCCUGAUGCAGCGACGCCGCGUGAACGAAGAAGGUAUUCGUAUCGUAAAGUUCUGUCCUAUGGGAAGAUAAUGACAGUACCAUAGAAGAAAGCGCCGGCUAAAUACGUG